UCCCUCUUAGCUCAGUGGUAGAGCGCUUCACUAGUAGGCCAAUGGCUAUUGUGUUCAGUAUACUAUGAAGAGGUCAGUCGUUCAAGUCGGCUAGAGGGAA